rnacentral:rRNA from 1 species
GUCCACGCCGUAAACGAUGGAUACUAGCUGUUGGGGGCAACUUCAGUGGCUAAGCGAAAGUGAUAAGUAUCCCACCUGGGGAGUACGUUCGCAAGAAUGAAACUCAAAGGAAUUGACGGGGGCCCGCACAAGCGGUGGAGCAUGUGGUUUAAUUCGAUGAUACGCGAGGAACCUUACCAAGGCUUAAAUGUAGAUUGACCGGUUUGGAAACAGACUUUUCGCAAGACAAUUUACAAGGUGCUGCAUGGUUGUCGU